rnacentral:sRNA from 1 species
CCAGCCGCUAGAAUCAGGGCUGGACUUGCUGGAAGUGUCGUCUUUCGGCGCUUCCAAUAUCCAUGUUGCUCAAGGAGGAUAUGGUUAUGGCAA